rnacentral:lncRNA from 1 species
UGUAAGAUUUGAGAUGUGAAGUCAGUAAGCAUCCUGCCCAUCCGAUCCAUCAUCUGAUCUAUAACCCCCUCUGUAGAAAAACUAUGAGGCAUUGCUGAUGUGUGGGGGGAGAUAGGUGGUCUUGGCUAAUGCUCUCUAGCUACAAAACUCGAUGUCGAUGCAGGUGAAGGGGAUGAUGGUCCUGCAGUAGGUGCAGGGAAGGAUGGCUCUGUAGAAUCUGAGGGUGA